rnacentral:tRNA from 1 species
UGGGAUAUAGCUUAUUGGUAGAGCACUUACCUAAGUUGCAUGAGGCCCUGGGUUCAAUCUCCAGUACCACAA